CAGCCGCCGCGGUAAUACGAGGGGGGCAAGCGUUGUUCGGAUUUAUUGGGCGUAAAGGGUGCGUAGGCGGUUUGGCAAGUCUUGUGUGAAAUCUUCGGGCUCAACCCGAAGCCUGCACGAGAAACUACCGGGCUUGAGUAUUGGAGAGGUGAGUGGAAUUUCCGGUGUAGCGGUGAAAUGCGUAGAUAUCGGAAGGAACACCUGUGGCGAAAGCGGCUCACUGGACAAUAACUGACGCUGAUGCACGAAAGCUAGGGGAGCAAACAGGAUUAGAUACCCCCGUAGUCCCUGUCUCUUAUAC
rnacentral:rRNA from 1 species